CUAAUAUUUCAUUGAUGUACAUAAUUAGUUACUCCAAUUUAACUACAUAUGGUAGCUCACACGCAUUGUGUAAUGACCUGAUUCUACCUAGGCUUUAAAAACCUAGUUUAGAAUGCGGCUCAAGAACACUCGCUUUAGUGUUCAAAUCUUCACAACACCAAUGUUCUAUAUUAUGCCAGCUAGGAAACUAGGCCAUAGAAAAUAAGUAUAAAGGGGUGGCAAAAGGUGGUGCCAGCAGUCGCGGUUAUACCAAUACCCCAAGCUAAUUUAGGCAAACUGGGGUAGUUUUUAUCUCUGGGCUAUAAAAUUAACUUUUAGCGUAAAAACCAAAUUACAACUAAACCCUAUCUAGCCAUACCUGAACUCCCCCAACAAACCAUGACCUCAGAACUCGGAUUAGAUACCCGACUACUGUAUGGCACAACAUAUAGAAGAAUACUACGAGCGAAAGCUUAAACCUCAAACAAUGUGGCGGUGCUUUAUUCCUUAUCAGGGGAUCCUGUGGCUUAAUUCGAUAAUCCACGAAAAACCUAAGCUAUUCUUGUAUACAGCUUGUGUACGGCCGUUUAUGCUUGCUCGCAAAAGAAAAUAAAGGAAGCAAUGGGAGUUACUACCCAAAAAUUCAGGUGACAUACAGCCAAUGAAAAGCAGAUCCAUGGGAUACAAAUAAACAUACUACCAAAUUUAAAGUUUAGAACUUUAAUGAAGGAGGACUUGAAAGUAAGAUUCAGCUUUUAGAAAAAGAAUCUGAACAAGAACUAAAGCGCGCACAAAUCGCCCGUCACUCCGACAAUAAAGUGGGAUAAGUCGUAACAUAGUAGGGGUAAUGGAAAUUGCCCCUAUCACA
rnacentral:ncRNA from 1 species